UCAACAAAAUCUCCUUGGUCCUGCAGCAACCUUUAGAAGGUUUUUCAACAGAAAAGGUGUUUCUAUUCUACCCAAAUCAGACUAGGAAUCACAGUUCUGGGAAUGAUGCUACAAGUGAGCAGCAGGGAGUGAAAUAGUUAUUGAUUACCACAACAAGAUGUAACGAGUAAAGCCUGGACUUGAACUUCUGAUGACAAGCUUCCGCUUUGCCUCACAGCCUCUUAGACCAAGAUCCACAUGAGUAAAACACACACAAAAGAGACAGGUAUCACCAUGAGCUCGUGUGGCCAAGAAGCCUUUGUACUGACUGAACUUACCUUGGAUGUAAAUGCAUGUACAGUAAUAAGUUUCAACUUUUUUAAGAGGACAUGGGCUCACAAAGGGAAAAACUGCUGGGAGUAGAAUAAAAACUGAGCAGGAUACAGACAACAGAGAUGAAGAAAAAGAAGUCCAGUUACAAGUAGGUGGGUGGGGAGGAAGAGUGAGAAAAUCCUAGAAAGCAAGCCA
rnacentral:lncRNA from 1 species